AUUGAACGCUGGCGGCAUGCCUUACACAUGCAAGUCGAACGGUAACAGGUCUUCGGAUGCUGACGAGUGGCGAACGGGUGAGUAAUACAUCGGAACGUGCCCAGACGUGGGGGAUAACGAGGCGAAAGCUUUGCUAAUACCGCAUACGAUCUAAGGAUGAAAGCAGGGGACCGCAAGGCCUUGCGCGUUUGGAGCGGCCGAUGGCAGAUUAGGUAGUUGGUGGGAUAAAAGCUUACCAAGCCGACGAUCUGUAGCUGGUCUGAGAGGACGACCAGCCACACUGGGACUGAGACACGGCCCAGACUCCUACGGGAGGCAGCAGUGGGGAAUUUUGGACAAUGGGCGAAAGCCUGAUCCAGCAAUGCCGCGUGCAGGAUGAAGGCCUUCGGGUUGUAAACUGCUCUUGUACGGAACGAAAAGGCUCUGGCUAAUACCUGGGGCACAUGACGGUACCGUAAGAAUAAGCACCGGCUAACUACGUG
rnacentral:rRNA from 1 species